rnacentral:tRNA from 1 species
GGAGGAGUCGCAUAGUUGGUCUAGUGCACUUGUCUUGAAAACAAGAGUGCCGCAAGGCACCGUGGGUUCGAAUCCCACCUCCUCCG